GUUUAUGGUCAUGCCGCCCUGAACAAGCCUGAUCCCAUCUGAUUUCAGAAGCUAAGCAGGGUCGGGCCCAGAUAGUACUUGGAUGGGAGACCACCUAGGAAGACCAGGUGGUGUAGGCA
rnacentral:rRNA from 1 species